rnacentral:rRNA from 1 species
UACGUAGGGCGCAAGCGUUGUCCGGAUUUAUUGGGCGUAAAGAGCGUGUAGGCGGCCAUACAGGUCAGCUGUGAAAACUCGAGGCUCAACCUCGAGACGUCGGUUGAAACCGUAUGGCUAGAGUCCGGAAGAGGAGAGUGGAAUUCCCGGUGUAGCGGUGAAAUGCGCAGAUAUCAGGAAGAACACCCGUGGCUAAGGCGGCUCUCUAGUACGGUACUGACGCUGAGACGCGAAAGCGUGGGGAGCGAACAGG